rnacentral:rRNA from 1 species
CCCUUAGAUGUCCGGGGCCGCACGCGUGCUACACUGAGUGGAUCAGCGGGUCAGGUUGCGCGAAAGUGUUUCCUAAUCUUGAAAUCCGCUCGUGAUGGGGAUUGACGGUUGCAAUUUUCCGUCAUGAACGAGGAAUACCUUGUAAGCGCGGGUCAUCAUCCCGCGCUGAAUACGUCCCUGCCCUUUGUACACACCGCCCGUCGCUCCUACCGAUUGAGUGGUCCGGUGAGGCUUUGGGAUCUGAGCGGAAAGAGCGUUUCGCUGUUUCUGCUCGGAAAACUCAGUCGAACCUUAUCAUUUAGAGGAAGGAGAAGUCGUAACA